UAGAGUUUAAAAGAUGGUUCUGCUAUCACUCUUGGAUGGACCUGCGGUGCAUUAGCUAGUUGGUAAGGUAACGGCUUACCAAGGCAAUGAUGCAUAGCCGAGUUGAGAGACUGAUCGGCCACAUUGGGACUGAGACACGGCCCAAACUCCUACGGGAGGCAGCAGUAGGGAAUCUUCCACAAUGGACGCAAGUCUGAUGGAGCAACGCCGCGUGAGUGAAGAAGGGUUUCGGCUCGUAAAGCUCUGUUGGUAGUGAAGAAAGAUAGAGGUAGUAACUGGCCUUUAUUUGACGGUAAUUACUUAGAAAGUCACGGCUAACUACGUGCCAGCAGCCGCGGUAAUACGUAGGUGGCAAGCGUUGUCCGGAUUUAUUGGGCGUAAAGCGAGUG
rnacentral:rRNA from 2 species